rnacentral:rRNA from 1 species
UACAGAGGUCUCAAGCGUUGUUCGGAUUCAUUGGGCGUAAAGGGCGCGUAGGCGGCCGUUUGCGUCGGAUGUGAAAGCCCGGGGCUCAACCUCGGAACGGCAUUCGAUACGGGACGGCUGGAGACCGGGAGAGGAGAGUGGAAUAGCCAGUGUAGAGGUGAAAUUCGUAGAUAUUGGCUGGAACACCGGUGGCGAAAGCGGCUCUCUGGCCCGGUUCUGACGCUGAGGCGCGAAAGCGUGGGGAGCAAACAGG